rnacentral:rRNA from 1 species
GACGAACGCUGGCGGCGUGCUUCAUACAUGCAAGUCGAACGAGAAGCUGACUUCUUUCAGUGGAAAGUGGCGGACGGGUGGGUAAUAUGUAGGAAAUCUGCCUUCAGUAGGGGUACAACAGAGGGAAACUUCUUCUAAUACCCCAUAUGAGCGUAGCUGAAAUGCUAUUCUUGAAAACUCCGUUGCCUAAAGAUGAGCCUGCAUCUGAUUAGCUAGUUGGUAGUGUAAUGGAUUACCAAGGCGACGAUCAGUAGCUGGAUGGAGAGGAUGCACAGUCACAAUGGGACAGAGACCAGGCUCAUACUCCUACGAGAGGCAGCGGUAGGGGAACAUGCGCAAUGGGCGAGAGCCUGACGCAGCGACUGCGCGAGAACGAUUAAGCCCUUGGGGGUGUAAAGCUCUGUCAGUGGGGACGUAACUUGACGGUACCCACAGAGGAAGCACCGGCUAACUACGUG